CAUGGAGACAGAAGGGAAUGCCAGUCAUGCCCUUUGAUUUGCUUGUUUUUCCCAGAAGCAGCAGUUUUGUCUCCAGAACUCUUUUCUGGCAAUCCAGUCUGUCCCAAGGACAGGUGUAUUUGCAUGCGCUGCAAGCCCAAGAGGCCCUCUGAUGUCUUUGCUAAGGGUUUCCAUGAAAACUGCUUCAACAUCCAGCUUUUCAUGUUGCAAUCAAAUCAGAGAGUGAGAAAGUCUUAAGCAAGAGAGAAUAAAGACAGCUUCAAAUGCAAGGAUCAGACCAGAUUUCACAGCAGACCGGAGCUGUCUGUCUUCAGCCGCAGCUCCUGCUGGCUGUGUUUCCUAACAGAGGAUCCCUCUCUUUGACUUUCUCUUGUGAGAUCAUCCGGAAGCACGUGCACCAGAGAGUUGGAAUGACGCCAUUAAAAAUAUUGAUACUGGUGCGGAGUUGUUUGCGUCUUAGCCUGUGCGCUGCUCUAACGGCACACUGGCACACAUGGCAUUUUGCUUGAGUAAUUACAGAAGCCAGCAGAUGUUUAGGGUGAGUUGGCUGUUUAUUGACGUGGGA
ensembl:lncRNA